rnacentral:tRNA from 1 species
CUGCGUGUAGCUCAGCUUGGUAGAGUACCUGCCUUGGAAGCAGGGGGUCAGAGGUUCAAGUCCUCUCACGCAGACCA